rnacentral:rRNA from 1 species
GCCUGUGGCCACUUCACCCUGAGAACACCCAAUCUCAUCUGAUCUUGGAAGUUAAGCAGGGUUGGGCUCAGUUAGUACUUGGAUGGGAGACUGCCUGGGAAUCCCGAGUGCUGUAGGCU